rnacentral:rRNA from 1 species
UACGUAGGUGGCGAGCGUUGUCCGGAUUUACUGGGCGUAAAGGGAGCGUAGGCGGACUUUUAAGUGAGAUGUGAAAUACCCGGGCUCAACUUGGGUGCUGCAUUUCAAACUGGAAGUCUAGAGUGCAGGAGAGGAGAAUGGAAUUCCUAGUGUAGCGGUGAAAUGCGUAGAGAUUAGGAAGAACACCAGUGGCGAAGGCGAUUCUCUGGACUGUAACUGGCGCUGAGGCUCGAAAGCGUGGGGAGCAAACAGGAUUAGAUACCCCGGUAGU